ACCAUUAUGAUAUGGGAUAGCCAACCCAGACGAGCAAACCCGUCGGGAUACACUGAGGGCGCUAAUUAAGUAAACAAGCAGGGUGUGGAGGGAGGGGUGACUUUUCAGUUUUGGACUUAGCGCAAAUGACACCCUUGCAUAAUUAGUUAAGUCUUAUAUAAUGCUUAUUACGUCAUUACAAGGGAUAAUAAAUAUUUGCGUUCUGUCAAUCUGUUUGUGCAGAUGGACAGAACAGCGUAUCUAAACCAGCCCGAUGUAAAUAUGGCCUAUUUUGCAUUCAGAGGGGUUGAGUGUGACGUUUGGCUCGUUAUUUCUCUUCAGGCGGCCGAUCGUGACAACGCUAUUGAGUACGAUGUAAGAUCCAUCAGAAUCCUAAGGUGGAACAACAUUCAUUCAAAGCGGAGUCUGACUUGACUGGAGAAUGGCUGCUGCCCCAGACCCAGAUGAAAUUCUUCGUUCAACAAAAGGAAAAGGAAAUUUUCAACGUGUAGCACGACUGUUGAUAAGUGGAGGUACUACACUUCUGAGAGAAAUUUUCGAUCAACUCUCUCCACCAAGUAGUCUUCCCACGAUACUAAAACGUCCAGCCACACAGAAACAACUCAAAGCAGCAAAGCUCACCAAGCCACAGUGGGACUGUCUGUACCCUUCCCCAGGGGUGUACGGCAAGUCAGCAGAUUUUGAUGUUACUUUGCUAUUCAGGUUGCUGAGGACAAUAUGCAACCUCACCCCUCUCACCACCGGAUGGGAUGCACUGCCCACAAGCACAGACAACAGUUUAGUUGCAGACUUAGUGAGAAUUAAAUAUUACCGUAAUUCAGUGUAUGGUCACGUGAGCCAAAAUAUGGAAAUUACGGAUGACGAGUUCCCACAGCUUUGGGAAGACAUCAGUGAAGCGCUGCUUAGAAUUGCUGGGCAAAUCAGCCCUACGAAGAAAACAGCAUGGCAGGAGGCCAUUGGUAACUUUUUAAAGGAUCCCCUUACAGCCGAGGAUGAACGAAAUGUCCAGGAACUGCGAAGGUGGUACAAAAAUGAUGUGGAAGUAAAGGAAUUCAUAGAGUCCUCAGCUCAAAAAACGAGAAAAAGAAUGAAACGUCUGAAGAGGUCUGUUCGAGAGGAAGCCCAAUAAAUCAGAGAUCAGCUCGGAGGGGAACUGAAAACCACAAGUCAAGACGUUCAAAGCCUAGUUCGAGAGGAAACUCAAGACAUCAAAGAUCAGCUGGGAGAGAUGCAUCAAUCCAUAGAUAGGCUCAGCUCCUCCGCUGGCACCUCUCAAGCAGCAGGAGCUCGUCUUGGAGUGAGGAUUAAUGGCAAAACAGUCCAGGGAGUGGCAAUGGUACAUGUGACGUCGCGUAAACGAAAGGCAGACACUAGUUUUCCCACAGCACAGCAAGUUUUGAAUCUCGCGGCGUCAAAAUAUUUGAAAACAAUUGACCCAUCGAAACCAGAGGACUUAAAUGGCUUUGUUUAUUACAUGGAAAAAGUACGAAAAACAUUGCUCGUGGAUACUAAGUCAGGGAGUUUGAUCAUCACAGUUGAAUGUCGCUCUCUGGAAAUACUUGACGGAUUGUGGUCUGAUUAUUGCACUGGCUUUCUGAAUAAAAUGGUGCAAAAAUUCCUUGUGACCGAUGAGGUUUUC
rnacentral:misc_RNA from 1 species